UUAACAGCCGUUAUGUGACAGAGGCUCCGUGUAGGCCUCGGGGUUCUUUAUUUGAUUAGAGGCCUUAGCACUGUGUUCCUUAUUAACCUACUUUGCCUCCGAGGGGUUUGCGUGACAAUAAAACAGCAGCGCUUUAAGAAAGCCACACGAAUGCUGUUAGUUUAGAGCAGUCCACUGAAACUGCUCACUAUUUAAUUGACAAUUCCCGUGCUUCUCUUCAAACGUCUUGCCUAGCAGAUAAUCAUGGGAGGUUACCAUUGUAGAACGGACCAAGAUCUUCUGUAGACCAAACGCCCCGUGAUGCCAGUGUGUUGGAUCUGUUCAACCUCACUGAUAACUAAGUGGAUAUUAGAUGAGUGGUUUUGUUAGUUGUGAGAACACCCUGUUUGGCACUUCUGUUAAAUGAAAUGACCUUUUCUGUCCUGUAUGGCUAAUACGGAACUUUGGUUAAGAAAAACACCCUUUAAAAAACUUGUAUUAAUUGGGAAAUAAGCAUUUUCUCUUGGUGCUUGCGAUGUUACCUGCUAAAUGUCUUUACUGCGGGUGUAACCAUUGUCCAGGGUUACGCAAGACUUAAAAUACUCAAUGGCUGGAAACGUCAAAAGAUAAAAAUGCUUAUUUGGCAAAGUAAAUGUGAUGGUGUGUUCUAGCAGGCAGGCCUUUCAAUGUCUAACUGUGAUGUUUUUCAUUUACUCUUGUAGCGUUUGCACCAUAAAGUAUAUUGUUAAUGUUAGGGUAUAGAGUAUAAACACAAAAUAAACAUUUUAUAUAUAAAAAAAAAAAA